CGACAUACUUACUUGCACAUGUCGUGUAGUCUUUGCAUCGCUUCCACGAGAUCUUCGGAAUUCCUGGCAGCAGCCGCCCGAUCCAGUUGCUUUACGACGGCAGGCCACCAUGCUAGCCUACGAUCACUGAUUCACCGAUUUGAAACUAUCUAUGUAUACGUGCGAAAUUGGACUAUGAUUGGGUGAUGCACACACUACUAUGUGUAUUACUUGCGAGCAUACAUAUUGUAUUCUUUUAAAGAAUGGCAAGUAGUAUAAAUUUAAAACAAGCGCGAUGUGCCUACCGAAUCGUCGACACGGCAUACGUACGUUUACGCGCGAAUUGUCGCG